rnacentral:rRNA from 1 species
GGGAAUGUGCCUCUGGGUGCGGAACAACGUCGGGAAACUGACGCUAAUACCGCAUAAUAUCUACGGAUCAAAGAUUUAUCGCCCAGAGAUCAGCCCGCGUCUGAUUAGGUAGUUGGUAGGGUAAUGGCCUACCAAGCCGACGAUCAGUAGCUGGUCUGAGAGGAUGAUCAGCCACACUGGAACUGAGACACGGUCCAGACUCCUACGGGAGGCAGCAGUUAGGAAUAUUGGACAAUGGGGGCAACCCUGAUCCAGCCAUGCCGCGUGUGUGAAGAAGGCCUUAGGGUUGUAAAGCACUUUCAGCUGUGAAGAUAAUGACAGUAGCAGAAGAAGAAGCUCCGGCUAAAUUCGUGCCAGCAGCCGCGGUAAUACGAAUGGAGCGAGCGUUGUUCGGAAUCACUGGGCGUAAAGGGUGCGCAGGCGGUCAUGAAAGUUAGAAGUGAAAUCCCAGGGCUUAACCCUGGAAUGGCUUUUAAAACUCCAUGACUAGAGUACUGGAGAGGUUGGCGGAAUUCCGAGU